rnacentral:tRNA from 1 species
CGCUCACCGGGCGCCCCGGCGCGCAGCGCAUCGCCGUCACGAGCGGCGGCACGAUCCCCGACCGCGGGUUGUUCGGCGUGUUCGUCGCGGGUGAGAGCC